AAUUAUUAAAGGGCCGCGGUAUUUUGACUGUGCAAAGGUAGCAUAAUCAUUUGUCUCUUAAUUGGAGGCUGGAAUGAAUGGUUGAAUGAAAUAUUAACUGUCUCAUUUUUAAAAUUAUAAAAAUUUAGCUUUUAAGUCAAAAGGCUUAAAUAUAUUUAGAGGACGAGAAGACCCUAUAGAUCUUUAUAAUUAAUUUAAUUUUAUAAAAUAGAUAAAUAAUUAAUAAAAUUAAUUUAAUUAUUUUAUUGGGGUGAUAGGAAAAUUUAAUAAACUUUUUUUAUUUAUUAACAUUGAUUUAUGAUUAAUUGAUCCAUUUUUAGUGAUUAUAAGAUUAAGUUACCUUAGGGAUAACAGCGUAAUUUUUUUAG
rnacentral:rRNA from 1 species